UCCCCGGUGGUCCAGUGCUGAGACUCCAUGCUUCCAAUGCAGGGGGCCCAAGUUCGAUCCCUGGUUGGGAAA